AAGUGGAAAUUACACAAAAAGAUGUUCCAACUGCUGUCUUUGGAGGAUUGGCUAGGAAGAGGGAAGAGACCGAAAAAGCUGAGGGUGGAGAUGAUGCCGCAACUGCUAAGGAUGGUGCAGGCCAUCUUGGUGCCCUUGAGAGAAUAAAGAGGCUAAAACGUGCAUGAUUACCCUGAAAUUUGAAGUUGAGUUAUUCAAGUAGGGAUGAAAUUUUGACAGAUCAUAUAAUGUACCAACAGCUAUAGUUACACUUGAAGUAGCCCUUUGUAAUUUUUAUGAUAAUUCUUGAUUUGUACUGAACUAAGGACUUCGUAUAUUUUCCACCAUGCCCAUGUAUCUUUUGUUUAUAAAACUUUUAAGGUGAAAGAUAUAUCAAUUU
rnacentral:misc_RNA from 1 species